rnacentral:rRNA from 1 species
UACGUAGGGACCAAGCGUUGUUCGGAUUUACUGGGCGUAAAGGGCGCGUAGGCGGCAUGGCAAGUGGAAGGUGAAAUCCCUCGGCUUAACCGAGGAACUGCCCUCCAAACUGCUUUGCUUGAGGCCGGGAGAGGUGAGUGGAAUUCCCAGUGUAGCGGUGAAAUGCGCAGAUAUCAGGAGGAACACCGGUGGCGAAGGCGGGUCUCUGGGCCGAUACUGACACUGAGGCGCGAAAGCGUGGGGAGCGAACAGG